UUGGAAAUGGGAAGGACAGACCCAGCUGA
rnacentral:piRNA from 1 species